rnacentral:rRNA from 1 species
CCUACGGGGCGCAGCAGUGGGGAAUAUUGCACAAUGGGGGAAACCCUGAUGCAGCGACGCCGCGUGGGUGAAGAAGUAUUUCAGUAUGUAAAGCCCUAUCAGCAGGGAAGAUAAUGACGGUACCUGACUAAGAAGCCCCGGCUAACUACGUGCCAGCAGCCGCGGUAAUACGUAGGGGGCAAGCGUUAUCCGGAUUUACUGGGUGUAAAGGGAGCGUAGACGGCGAAGAAAGUCUGAAGUGAAAGCCCGCGGCUCAACCGCGGAACUGCUUUGGACACUUUUUUGCUGGAGUACCGGGGAGGUAA